GACGAACGCUGGCGGCGUGCCUAAUACAUGCAAGUAGAACGCACAGUUUAUACCGUAGCUUGCUACACCAUAGACUGUGGGUUGCGAACGGGUGAGUAACGCGUAGGUAACCUGCCUGGUAGCGGGGGAUAACUAUUGGAAACGAUAGCUAAUACCGCAUAAUAUUGAUUAUUGCAUGAUAAUUGAUUGAAAGAUGCUAUUGCAUCACUACCAGAUGGACCUGCGUUGUAUUAGCUAGUAGGUGAGGUAACGGCUCACCUAGGCGACGAUACAUAGCCGACCUGAGAGGGUGAUCGGCCACACUGGGACUGAGACACGGCCCAGACUCCUACGGGAGGCAGCAGUAGGGAAUCUUCGGCAAUGGACGAAAGUCUGACCGAGCAACGCCGCGUGAGUGAAGAAGGUUUUCGGAUCGUAAAGCUCUGUUGUAAGAGAAGAACGGGUGUGAGAGUGGGAAGUUCACACUGUGACGGUAUCUUACCAGAAAGGGACGGCUAACUACGUG
rnacentral:rRNA from 1 species